AUUUUAAUAAUUAAACUCUUAAAAUUUAUUACAUUGAAGAUGUAAUUUUUAUUAGAGUA
rnacentral:tRNA from 1 species